CAAACAAACCAAGGAUACAUGGUUGAUAGGGAGGGUCCCAUGAGUGGGGUCCCGGGGUACAUGGGAACUCUGCACUCUCCACUCAGUUUUGCUGUGAACCUAAAGCUGUAACCUCCGGCCCUCCAGGACCGGUCCAUCUGACCCCAUCUUCUCAGCAGAGUAAUGGAGAAUGGUUUUUCAGGAACAGAGGCCCCUCAUCCAGUACAGGCCGGUGAAGACCACAAACCCAUCAACUGGGCCUGUGCAACUGCUCGAAUGUAGGCACGGAGGCUCAAAUCUGAAUCCAACACUGAUUCUUGGAAUCCCAUCAAGCCCUGAACUACUCAGACGAAAGCCACAUCGUGCCUUGGUUCUCCCUUCCUCUUGAACACUCCAAAAUCCUCUGUGAGAAGAGGGGUGAAGGCAGAAAAAAUGAAACUCGGGUGUCAAGACAAAGCGUGGAGAGCUCAGAGACUAGAGCUGAUGCAAUAAACGUAAAACAGGAAGAAUUCUUCAAUAAACACAGUGUUUUCCUGCAACGUGAGAGGAGAGAGAAGUGUUUCUGGGACAGAGGAGAAGCUUGGC